GCGGUGCGCCGGCCCGCGGGGAAACGCGCUCUUAGACCAUGGCGACCCAGGCGAAGCGUCCACGGGUGGCGGGGCCCGUGGACGGCGGCGACCCGGAUCCUGUGGCCUGCUUCCUGAGCUGGUGCCGGCGGGUGGGGCUGGAGCUGAGUCCCAAGGUGAGCGAGCGAGCCGGCGGGCGGAGGACCCGCGGCGGGGCGCGGGCUGCCCUGACCAGCCCUCCUCCUGCUCAGGUGGCGGUCAGCCGGCAGGGCACGGUGGCCGGCUACGGCAUGGUGGCCCGGGAGAGCGUGCAGGCCGGAGAGCUGCUGUUCGUGGUGCCGCGGGCCGCGCUCCUGUCGCAGCACACCUGCUCCAUCCGCGGCCUGCUGGAGCGAGAGCGAGUUGCGCUGCAGAGCCAGUCGGGCUGGGUGCCACUGCUGCUGGCGCUGCUCCACGAGCUGCAGGCCCCGGCCUCACGCUGGAGGCCCUACUUUGCGCUCUGGCCCGAGCUGGGCCGCUUGGAGCACCCGAUGUUCUGGUGAGAGCCUUGGGAGGGGUUGGGGAGCGCCUGCACCGUAGCCUGCUGCAAGAACAGUUUCCCCGCCCCUGCACCAGUCCUACCCAGUAAAGUGUGUGAAGGAAUGAAGGGAACCUGGGUGUGGGUGUCCCUGCAGGCCAGAGGAGGAGCGCC
rnacentral:sRNA from 1 species